GAGACAGUUCAUCUGUUCAAGGCAAGUGGGUUUUAAGUGGGACCUUUGCGAACGCAUCGUGACCCCUCCACUUACCUGGGAGCUUACCUGGUCAACUCGGUUCAUUAGACCGGAUUGGAGGCUUAGGUGCCCUCUUCAAACCAGUUAGGAGCUGUCUAGUGAUUUUAGGUCAAAGACUAGGAUUGAUAUGCUUUUCUCUUUUAUUGCAUGCUUGAUUGAUCGAGUACUAGUGUAUGCAC
rnacentral:lncRNA from 1 species